AUCCAGUUGAUGAGUCCCAAACGGGACGAAACGCGCGUCCUGAAU
rfam:Schistosoma curassoni strain Dakar, Senegal genome assembly, scaffold: SCTD_scaffold0001436